rnacentral:lncRNA from 1 species
UAUUAAUUACUAUAUUAAACAAAUAAUUAACAUCUUCCUUCAACCUCCACCACCAUUUGGGUUCAUGUUCAUUGUGUUCUUCAUAUGUGUUUGUUGAUCAAAACCAAAACCAUGACAAACAUAAAUUCGAACAUUCCAAACUUCAGAUUUCCAAUGUUUGCUUCAUUUCUGUCUUCAAUGUUAAAAGUUCCUUAUCAAAGUCAUUUUUCAAAACAAACAAAUUGUCAUCCACAUUAU